UGCAAUAACAAACGAAACGGUAUCAACACGUAGCACAUUGGUACAUGAAUUCUUUGUCAAAUUUCAACACCCACAUUAGUCAAGUUUGCCUUUAUCGCCCCUACCCAGGCACAUAUGUAAUAACAAACAUUUCUCGUUAACUUUUUAUUCUAGUGUGUAAAUAAAACAACUCGAAUUAACAAAGGCAGAAAUGUGGACAUUAUGAGCGGGUAGGGAAGCGCAUACACCGAGUCACAAAUAUCAGUGUGGGGUGUGAGAGAGAAGUGUGGGUGUGUUUUGCGCAUUGACGCUGCAUUAUUACCACUCGCUGCCUGUGUUCCCAUGGUUACCUGUGCCUUGGAGAGCAAAGGGCCAAUGGAGACUGGAAGAAGGACUAGGAAGUGAGGAAUAAGAGAAAAAUUGCCGAGAAGGGAGAGUUGGUUCAUAGCCAGGCCAGAGUGAAACGUCGAACGCUGGGUAAAGCUGUCCGGAGUCCCACUUGGUCAGGAUCCUGCCCACACUUGACCUGACCUCACCGGACGAGUUUUAUAAAUGACAUCAUCGUGUUCAUCUGUGGCCGCUGCAGAGUCCUUCGUGCUUCAAUGAGACCUCUGAUAGGACGCCCUGGGAUGUGGCUCAGAAUCUCUUCUCAAGGACUCCAGUGGCGGGGCUGGCGGCUGCACGGAGGAUGGUGGCAAGCAAAAGAUUAACCGAGCCGUGGAGUUUGGUGUCCCUGAGAUUGUUUUGGACAGGAGAACUUCGGAAAAUUAGACAGAAGUAAGAACGCAAAAUUGACUUCAGGUUUUUGAACGAAUAAUUAACGUUUUCAAUGCAAUAUGUGACAAUUUACAUCACUGAUAGGACCAUUGACAGGACACCUCUGCGCCGCACCUUUACUACUUUCAAAAGGCUUUAGUUGAAGUGACACGUAUUCCCAAGAGUGCCACUACGGUUCUAGUGACAGAUCAACAAGAUUUCUACAUUACUAACUGGAGAAACGCUCUUGACAUCCCUGCUAAUCAUCUCUGUGGCCUUUCAAAAUACACUUGGCGAGGGAGCAAAGCGCCUCUCAAUAUAGGCCUAAGGGAAUGGAUUGAAGUUUUUUAAAUAGAACAAUGACAGACUUGAAAAAAAAAAACAA